AAAUGUAUUUAAAUUUUUUUUUUUUAAGGAGAAUUGCCAGGAAAAAAAAAUAUCAAGAUUUGGGGGAAUUAACCACAUAGAAGGAAGGUGUGUUAACUUGGGCGCUUCUUGGAUUCUACCCUGAGGAGGAGGCGCAUGGUGAGAGGAGAGGUUCCUUUCAUCCAAGCAGAGUCUAACCUGGAGGAAAAAAAACUGAGGCUGAGGAUCGCUGGAAGAGGCAGCAGGAAGAAGCAAGUUGAGCAGGGAACCUUCUGGUGUGAGGGAGCCUCUCCUUACCCUCCCACCUCAAGAAGCAGCAGCCUGACCCAAAACUUCCUGAAGAUUUUUAACCUCCAGAGCCAGUGGAACUGAGCCACCUCCAUGGUCUUUGCUGCAGGUACCACCACCUCCAGUCUGAGUGUUUGCUAACCAAGUCUGGGAUCCUACAGCCAGCGGCCUCCAUGGGGCCCCCAAAUGGAACAGGAUUGUUUCUUUGGUGGGACUGGUUGGUGCUGUGACCAUUUGGCUAGAUCUUCCCCCACUCUCUUUUUUUCAUCAGGCAUAUUUUUUUUUACCCACCCCUUUCCUUGACAGUCUGCUUCCUUUGAUUUUUCCAAAAGAAGAAAAGAAGAAAGAAACUGGGUAACUGCUGGACUUUUCUAUAAUGAGAUGGGAAAGUGCUUUCUAAAACAGAAUUUUUUUCCCUAAGAAAAAAAGUAAACAAAUCAAUCUAAGCAAUAUUAUCUGGGCUGGAAACCGGGUGCCCCUGUUUACUGAAGUUCCUUGAGGACAAAAAAAAAUCAUUAGUUUAAUGCAGGCUUUUAAAAGUGUGCUGGAAAAUAAAGGUUCAAGCUGUCACAGGACUUUGUGUAUUUCUUCCGAAACUUCUGACUGCAUCCCCCCAAGCUCACCAAAUCUGUCUUCUCAACUCCUCACCAUCACUUUUCAUAGAAUCUUUAGAUU